GGUAGGGCCUCUCCUUAGUUUCCUUCCUCCGUGCGUUCACGUGCUUCCUCCGUGGGGUAGGGCCUCUCCUUAGUUUCCUUCCUCCGUGCGUUCACGUGGACGAGACGGUCAUUUGAGGAAUCGCCAGUCGUUUGUCGGGUGCGAGAGGGAAAAUCUGGGGGCGUUUGCACCUUGAAUUUCCCCAUUUGCCUAGGUACCACGGAGGAGAAGUUGAUUUGCUUGUUUUGUAUGCGUUUGUCCGUAGGCACGCAUUUUGCCGUGUGUCGGCUGGCCAUGCUUCAAAUGUCUUUCUUGACUAAGCCGUGUGUCGUCCGCAAGUUUUCCGCCAAUCCCGUGGACUGGCGAUUCCUCAAAUGACCGUCUCGUUUCACGUGGUGCCGUUCAUGGCAUAGACUGGCAUAGACGUGGCAUAGAGUCAUAGAGUUUCUGGUUCAUGGCAUAGAGUUAAGGUGCCGUUAGCGGCUAUAUUUCCGAACGGGGUGGUCGUGUCCUUUGUGCAGCUUCACGCAUGUUCGUUUUAAUUAGACAACAGUAAUAUCUCGGCCAGUUUGUGCGUCCGACAUUCGAUAGCCGCUACCAGGCGAACGUAUUUAAAGACGGUGAAUUUUAUCAGCUGCGGCGUUUCACUGGUGGCUACAUGCACGGCUUCUGUCGUCAGUGAUCUGCCGCCUCUGGCCGCGUAAUGACGGGUUGCUUGAAAAAAGUUUAUUAGCUAGCGUGAAAGCUCAUCGCUGGAACCGAGCACAGUCUGUCUGGAAACUACCAAAGAAAGCGGAUUAACCUUGCAGCCUCUGGGUGUGUACACCGCCUCCAAGAUGCUGCUCAUAUUUGAUCACCCCCUUUGGACUCUAUUGUCUCAGGAUGUACAAGUCAACAGUGAAUGUGUCGCCACAGAGCCAGAAUCCUCGCAAGGAAAAAGGACAAAGGAGAUAUUAUUGGUUUGCAAGCUGCCCACGCCAAGCCACAAGAAGCUCAACGGUCACCAUAAUGACAACAGGUCCUCUUGAACUACGUGCUUCACCAUGAAAUGUUUGCAAGUUUACCAGAUAGAACGCUGUGAGCGCUAUCGGGAAAACAGUAGUCUACAGUGUUGUGUCGUACCAAGCAGGAAUGCUAAAAUUUGACAUACAAGCUUUAAGGGCGUUUUAUGACAAUGUGAGAAGUAACGAGUUGAGUCCCAGCUUGUUUUUUUUUCUCGUCAUGUAGCUAGCUCCUACUUGGUAAUGCACAAACUCUGUCAUCUGCUAUUUGCAAAUCACAUUAACGGGCAUUACCACCAAGUAUCACAUGCUCCCUCAUAGCGUUAAUUUCUUACAUGAAACUGCAAAUAAUUUUAAAGCCUUCAAAACCGCUCAGUGCAAUUUUGAGGAAAUUAUGCUUCAUGUUCACUGAAACUCUGGCAGUCACUUCACUUCAUUAUUCUAUUUUUAUUUAAAGUAUGCUCAGGGCCAUACGCCAUUAAAGAGGGGAGUGGGUACAACGCAGUAGAGUAAAACAAACGAACAAGAACAGUGAGUUCUGGUAAUACAAUGUUAGCUAAUGUUUUGCAAAAAAAGGUUGUUAUUGGUGAUGGCUACGAUACUUGAGGGAAGGUGGUUCCGUUCCUGAGAUGUGCGGGGAAUGAAAGAUUGAAAGAAAGACUUCGUGUAGCAAGAAUCAAUCCCUGCGUUACUGCGAUGAUCGAUGCAGUUUGAAAUGUACUUGAGGUUGCGGUAUGAAGUCGUCAUGAAGUGUGGUAUGACGGAAAAUCAUAUAAAAUAGCGAAACAUGGUGACUGCGGUGAUUAUCUAGGGGAAUAAGUGCUGGUUAGUUUCAUUAAGGUUAUACUCACUGUAUGGUUUUAAUUAGAAAGAAUGGAAAGAGCAGAGUUAUUUUGUACUAGUUCAAGUGAAGUAGUAAGACUAACACAACUGGCAUCCCAUAUUGCAGAUGCAUAUUCAAGUUUUGAGCAUAUUAGCGUCUUAUAAAGGUGUAGUUUUAAAGUAGACAGUGUUUUGGAAAAGUUGCACUGUAAGUACCCGAGCAGGUGAAUAGCAUCGUUAAUGACAUACUCCAUAUUGGUCCAAUUUAAAUUAUUUGUAGUGUGUACACCAAUAUAGUUAUAGGACAUCACAAUAUCUAAGGGAACAUUGUUAAGAUGGUAAGUGAUAGGAUUAGGUAAGUGAUAGGAUGAUCUGGAUAUUGCACUUUUCAUUUGCUAACUACAAAAGGCUCAUGUACACUUUGCAUGAAAUCAGUAACUAGGCUAGCCCUGCACCGUAAGAGAUGGCUAGAACAGGCAACUUCACACAACUGGCCUACUCCACACUUCUCAAACAGGACAAACCAAUAAAAUCAAUUUUUCUUUCUCUUCAAAUAGCAGAUGACAUACGUAAGGAUAGUGUGUUCACAAAAAGUUUUUGAAAUACACUCGAAGUUUGGCUUAACAUUCAGCCAAUCAACAGUGGACGAGCAUGGGAACUUAUCUUCGUCACGGCCCUCACAAAUAUGCUUGAUUGUUGAAACAUUGGCUACAGGCUGAGGCUUCCCUUGCUCACCUCUGUUACUCAACUGAAGUGUUCAUCUCCUCGUAACCUUUUUGCAUUGUUUGAACACGCCAACCGAGAUGUUUUUUCAACAUGGAACCGUCAGUUGCAUUUUACAAGAAUCCGUGAGCAUUAGUUGGGCAUACUUAUACGUUUAUUUAGUGUCCUUGUUUAUACACAAUAUUUGCAGAGGUCCUUGUAAGCAUUGUCUCCAUAACGUUCCUCGCCUUCCUACGAGUACUCCACUUGUGUCAAAGCCUUUACGGCUGCAACAGAACACUAAAUGUCCAGCAGAAAUAUCAAGAACACACAAUAUGUGAUUUAAAAUUUAGCAUAACAUUUUUUCCCCCUCUACACUUCGUGCCUAUCUCCAAUGUGUUAUGAAAACAAUGCGAUAUUGCAGCUCGAGCUUACCUUACUGACAAUACAUCUUUGCCAAGCACUUCUUACGUUUCUUUUUUUAAUCUAGCUGAAAUCGUCGAAGGCAGACAACAUACGUAUAGUAUGAAACACGUCAAACAGCACUGUACGUAACACAAGUACGAGUGUAGCCGAGCACAAUAUCGUUGUCCUUGCUUUAGUGGCACGCCUAACACGAUGAGAAAACUUCGCUCGAUUUCAGUUUUUAAUUCCGUUAAAUAGAUUACUAUCUGUGUUUCUGUAUGUUGCAAACUCAGUGAUUGACAGCCUUAGCUCCACCUGACCUGUACGAAAAUUGUGGGCAUGUACUGCUCCAUUCACGAUUGACAUUAAACAAUGCAAGCUUA